GACGAACGCUGGCGGCGUGCCUAAUACAUGCAAGUCGAACGCUGAAGGAGGAGCUUGCUUCUCCGGAUGAGUUGCGAACGGGUGAGUAACGCGUAGGUAACCUGCCUGGUAGCGGGGGAUAACUAUUGGAAACGAUAGCUAAUACCGCAUAACAGUAGAUAUCGCAUGAUAUCUGCUUGAAAGGUGCAAUUGCAUCACUACCAGAUGGACCUGCGUUGUAUUAGCUAGUUGGUGAGGUAACGGCUCACCAAGGCGACGAUCCAUAGCCGACCUGAGAGGGGGAUCGGCCACACUGGGACGGGGACACGGCCCAGACGGCUACAGGAGGCAGCAGUAGGGAAACGUCGGCAAUGGACGGAAGACUGACCGAGCAACGCCGCGGGAGGGAAGAAGGUUGUCGGAUCGGAAAGCUCUGUUGUAAGAGAAGAACGAGUGUGAGGGUGGAAAGUUCACACUGUGACGGUAUCUUACCAGAAAGGGACGGCUAACUACGUG
rnacentral:rRNA from 1 species